GGGCCUAUAGUCUAACGGAUAGGACGCCGGGCUUCGGACCCGUCGAUGGAGGUUCGAAUCCUCCUAGGCUCA
rnacentral:tRNA from 2 species